UGAGAAGUAUGAUGGCUUUGAGGCAAACAAAUUCCUCCAGCUUGAGGUUGAGGCUACGGAAGCGUGCCACAGUCGCCAAGAGCAUGUCAAAAAUCUCAGCCAUCCCCUCGACACAUUCUCCUUCACUCCUGUAAAGAGAGUGAAGCUGUAAACACUGAAUAUGCUGCUGACUGUUUACAUGAAGACUGGACCUCUAAUGGACUCCCUGUUUUUCAGCAGUUCUUUUUCUAUAUUAGCAGCCUCCUUUUUUUUCUCAUCGAGCCUUUAAUUUUCAGUCCCAUUCCGAAUGUUACUCCCCCUUUCUCCUUCGUCCUCCAGGAUGCUUUAUUAAGCUCACCACUUUUUUUUUUAAGGAUGCUGGUUUUGGUUAGAUUGGUAUAGCCUUAGUCAGCGAUGACGCUGUUCUCUAAAGAGCCUGUUCCCAACCGGGUCCUAAUUACUCUCUACUUGUGACAUGGUCUUCUGAAGAGGAGCACUAGGCACUCAGUGGCCUACAAGAGGAGGUGCAGAACAUCCAGUACCUAUCGAGGAUGAGAUCCUGAGCAAAGAUGAGUUUUCCAGGCGAAUGAAUAGACCUCCAUAUGAGGCCGAUCAUCAACACCUCCAGCCAAGAGCUUUCCAAC